GGCGAACGCUGGCGGCGUGCUUAACACAUGCAAGUCGAACGGAAAGGGCCUGCUUUUGUUGGGUGCUCGAGGGGCGAACGGGUGAGUAACACGUGAGUAACCUGCCCUGGACUAUGGGAUAACUUCAGGAAACUGGGGCUAAUACCGGAUAGGAGGUCCUGCUGCAUGGUGGGGGUGGGAAAGUUUCGGCGGUUGGGGAUGGACUCGCGGCUUAUCAGCUUGUUGGUGGGGCAGUGGCUUACCAAGGCGUUGACGGGUAGCCGGCAUGAGCGGGUGACCGGCCACAUUGGGACUGAGAUAAGGCCCAGAGUACUCAGGGAGGCAGAAGUGGGGAAUAUGGCAGAAUGGGCGGAAGCCUGAUGCAGCAACGCCGCGUGCGGGAUGAGGGCUUUAGGGUUGUAAACCGCUUUCGCCUGUGACGAAGCGUGAGUGACGGUAAUGGGUGAAGAAGCACCGGCUAACUACGUG
rnacentral:rRNA from 1 species